CUCCCCUCCAGGUGUCCAGGGCAGGCGCGCAUUUCUCCCAUCCUGUCGCGAUCCAUUACGGUUCCUGCUACUGAUCUCUCUGGGAGAUCUGUCUUCAGUCGGGAACUCACAAAGCCUUGUUGUCAGUGGUGUGGAAGAAAUUCAGUUAGAAACGUCCCCAAGUACAUCUCUGGACCCAUCCUUGGCGGGCAGGAGGUUACAUGUAUGCAGUUGUCUCCUAACCAGACCUUAAGCUCCAUGACGAAAGGGUUUGGAUUCCCACAUCUGAAACGGUGCCAGCAUCCAGGCGCAGAAUAGGCUCUCGAUAUUUACGUCAUCACACCCCAGCGCAAGCUUCCCGUCGGUCACACGUCUCCCUGAUAGGCCCCUGCGCCGAAACGCCCCGUGCCCCUUGGCACCCAUGAUCAUGGCGUAGGCAUCCAUCCUCCAUCUUGUCAAACAGCUGUCACACCUUGACAGCAGAUGGCCUUGGCAAUCUUGGCAAUCCAGCCGGACAAGUUUCUACCUGAACUUUGGCUCAGCCAGUGCCUGGAUGGAGGAGUCAGAAAGGAGACCUAGAAAGGAAAGUACCUUCUGUUUUCUCAUUCCCAACCGCACAGGGCUGGGGGAAAGGGCUAAUGGCCAUGGGGAAACACCAGUGGGAAUAUACCUGCUUUGGACAGAUAGGAGCUAGGGUCCCCCACUCAUCCCCUUGCCUCCAGGUAUGCCUGCACACAACUCACCUGCGACAGACCUGUUCUUCCACAGCCCCCAGACAGGAAGCUCUCUGAUAUCCUAUCUAUCUGCCACGGUCAGUCCCUCCCCAUGGGCAACGCCACAGGGGUGGGGAAAUCCAACCAUCUGAGGAUUCUCUCCAGGCGCUCGGGAUGGAACAAGCAUCAGUUCUCAGCCCAGCUUCUCAAAUGUAUGUGUUGUUACUGCUGCUAUUUUCAAGGACCUGCUCUAUUUACGCCUCACUCCUUGUUGCUCCUCCUAGGGCAAGAGAACUGAAUAAAUAAAGAAGGCAGGCUUAACCCCUCCCUUGGCAGGGAUAGGAAUUUGCCAGAGCCGAGUGGGAGCAGAAAGCCCGCAAGACACAUACCUUGGGCCCACAAAAUGCUUUAUAUUUGGCAAAGCAUUUGCUCAUGUAAGCCCCGCAGCUGUGAGAUAUGAAGUCCAUGUUACAGGUACGAACACAGAGGCGAGGCCAAGGCCACGGAGGUUGCUCUAGGCCAUCUUUCGUCUCCUCGUCACCCGGGUUCUCGGUGCCUGGAGAGCAGGAGAAGAGAAACAGUGGUGCUAACGGGCCCCACCACUGGCGGCCUGUCGCUGAGGCUCCCGUGUCCUGCUCUCCCUCCCCUCUGUGAGGGCUGGGGCGGAUAAAGGGCCCGCGGAGCCACUCCUAUGUGCCAACUUGACUGGGCCAUGUGUGCGGUGCCCAGACAGUUAGUGGAACAUUAUCCUGGGUGUGUCUGUGAGGAUGUGUGGAGAGGAUUUACCAUCUGAAUGGAAACGUCGGCUCCUCCUGGGCCUGAAGCCCUAGCCGAAAGGCGCCGCCAGCUUCCCCGCGGCACCAGCUGGCCCACUCCAGAUCUUGGGACUUGUCAGCCUCCAUAAUCACGUGGGCCAGCUCCUUGGCGUAAUUCUCUUUCCAUUUCGAUGUAUCUAUAUCUACACCUAUUGGUCGUUUCUCUGGAGAAUCCUGACUCACACAGAGCCCCGGACGGGCUCUAAACGGGAAGAUGGGCUCUGAACGGCAAAGCCAGGCUGGGCCGAGGCAGGCGGGGACCUCCCAUCCUGGCAUCCAUCAAGAAAGGAAGUGUUAUUAAAAUUAAAAAAAAAAAAAAAAAAAAAA